GCUUAGAGUUUGCUCCUGGCUCAGAACGAACGCUGGCGGCAGGCUUAACACAUGCAAGUCGAGCGCCCCGCAAGGGGAGCGGCAGACGGGUGAGUAACGCGUGGGAACAUACCCUUUGGUUCGGAAUAACUCAGGGAAACUUGAGCUAAUACCGGAUACGUCCGUAAGGAGAAAGAUUUAUCGCCAAAGGAUUGGCCCGCGUCCGAUUAGCUAGUUGGUGAGGUAACGGCUCACCAAGGCUACGAUCGGUAGCUGGUCUGAGAGGAUGAUCAGCCACAUUGGGACUGAGACACGGCCCAAACUCCUACGGGAGGCAGCAGUGGGGAAUUUUGGACAAUGGGGGCAACCCUGAUCCAGCCAUACCGCGUGAGUGAAGAAGGCCUUCGGGUUGUAAAGCUCUUUCAGCCGGAAAGAAAUCGUGCAGGUUGAUAACCUGUAUGGAUGACGGUACCGGAAGAAGAAGCACCGGCUAACUACGUGCCAGCAGCCGCGGUAAUACGUAGGGUGCGAGCGUUAAUCGGAAUUACUGGGCGUAAAGCGUGCGCAGGCGGUUUUGUAAGACAGACGUGAAAUCCCCGGGCUUAACCUGGGAACUGCGUUUGUGACUGNCAGGCUAGAGUGUAGCAGAGGGGGGUAGAAUUCCACGUGUAGCAGUGAAAUGCGUAGAUAUGUGGAGGAAUACCGAUGGCGAAGGCAGCCCCCUGGGCUAACACUGACGCUCAUGCACGAAAGCGUGGGGAGCAAACAGGACUAGAUACCCUGGUAGUCCACGCCCUAAACGAUGUCAACUAGGUGUUGGGGAAGGGGACUUCUUUAGUACCGCAGCUAACGCGCUAAGUUGACCGCCUGGGGAGUACGGUCGCAAGAUUAAAACUCAAAGGAAUUGACGGGGACCCGCACAAGCGGUGGAUUAUGUGGAUUAAUUCGAUGCAACGCGAAAAACCUUACCUACCCUUGACAUGCCAGGAAGAUUUCAGAGAUGAGAUUGUGCCCGAAAGGGAACCUGGACACAGGUGCUGCAUGGCUGUCGUCAGCUCGUGUCGUGAGAUGUUGGGUUAAGUCCCGCAACGAGCGCAACCCUUGUCAUUAAUUGCCAUCAUUCAGUUGGGCACUUUAAUGAGACUGCCGGUGAUAAACCGGAGGAAGGUGGGGAUGACGUCAAGUCCUCAUGGCCCUUAUGGGUAGGGCUUCACACGUAAUACAAUGGUCGGUACAGAGGGUUGCCAACCCGCGAGGGGGAGCCAAUCCCAGAAAGCCGAUCGUAGUCCGGAUUGUAGUCUGCAACUCGACUACAUGAAGUCGGAAUCGCUAGUAAUCGCGGAUCAGCAUGUCGCGGUGAAUACGUUCCCGGGUCUUGUACACACCGCCCGUCACACCAUGGGAGUGGAAUCUGGCAGAAGUAGGUAGCCUAACCGCAAGGAGGGCGCUUACCACGCUGGGUUUCAUGACUGGGGUGAAGUCGUAACAAGGUAACCGUAAAGC
rnacentral:rRNA from 1 species